UACGUAGGGUGCAAGCGUUAUCCGGAAUUAUUGGGCGUAAAGAGCUCGUAGGCGGCUUGUCGCGUCCGGUGUGAAAGUCCAUCGCUUAACGGUGGAUCUGCGCCGGGUACGGGCAGGCUAGAAUGCGGUAGGGGAGACUGGAAUUCCCGGUGUAACGGUGGAAUGUGUAGAUAUCGGGAAGAACACCAAUGGCGAAGGCAGGUCUCUGGGCCGUUAUUGACGCUGAGGAGCGAAAGCGUGGGGAG
rnacentral:rRNA from 1 species